rnacentral:lncRNA from 1 species
GGACAUUUCUCCUCCCCAGCCCCAUGGACACCCCUAUUGCUGUUAUGUUGUGUUUAUAGCUACAUGUUGUGAAUGAUUUAGUUGACUUUUUCUUCAAAUAUCGCUUAAUAAACAUGAAGCGUGACUGGACUAACUAGCUAGCUAACGACAGCAGCAGUUACCGUGGGGUGCGCGAGGAUGGGCGCCGUUGACUUUGCGGAGUGUCAUUAUUGUAACUUUUGUAACGUUUUUACACCGGUCAGAUUUCAAAUCAUUCAGAAGACGCACUAAUGCUGGAGUCCAAAGGCAGCAAACAGGGAGAAGCGGGCUGAUAAAUAUGAGGUUUUGACUGAUCGCUAACCCUACCAUCCAGCUGCUGAACAGGACCGGUACGUUGGCCCUACAUCCUUACAGUACACGAGGACGCACAUACAGUGCAGUGGACACAGUGCUUGCUUUGGAAACAGUCCAUGAUCUUUUGAGUAUCCUGUGAGGCAGAGCAAGGUGCCCUGUGGUCCAGGUUUUUGGGGGGAAACAUUCCCCCAGAUGAAUCCAAAAUGUAGCAGCCAUUAAGACAGACAGGAGGAGGAGGCUGGUUCCCCUGCAGCUGGACAGCAUGUGUCCAGCUGCAAUCAAAUCAGCUGGGCUAGGGAGGUCUGCCCUGUACUUAAGAUUGAAGGUAUUUGAUAGCUGGUGUGUUUGGAAGGGGGAGGUGACCUGAUAAAUACCAGAGGAGCCAGAGACUCUGCCUAUGGAGAUGGAGCUGCCUGUUGCGCCAACACAAGCUAGAGUCUCUAGAGGAAAUGUGGGAGAUGCGGCGUCUCCAAGACGAGGUCUACUGUCUCUCUCUGGCUGCAGACCAGGAGAAGGUUCUGUGUUCCUGCCGGGGGCGAUUGGUAUAGCUUACCGCGUUCACUGGCUGUUUGGCCGGGCGGCCAGCUCGAGGAAGAGUCUUCGUGGUUCCAAACUUCUUCCAUUUUAGAAUGAUGGAGGCCACUGUGGUCUUGGGACCUUCAAUGCUGCAGCAAUUCUUUGGUACCCUUCCCCAGAUCUGUGCCUCGAAACAAUCCUGUCUCGGAGCUCCACUGACAAUUCCUUCGACCUCAUGUCUUGGUUUUUGCUCUGACAUGCACUGUCAACUGUGGGACCUUAUAUAGACAGGUGUGUGCCUUUCAAAAUCAUGUCCAAUCAAUUGCAUUUACCACAGGUGGACUCCAAUCAAGUUGUAGAAACAUCUCAAGGAUGAUCAAUGGAAACAGGAUGCACCUGAGCUCAAUUUCGAGUCUCAUAGCAAAGGGUCUGAAUACUUAUGUAAAUAAGGUAUCUGUUUUUUAUUUUUAAUACAUUUGCAAAAAUGUCUAAACCUGUUUUUUGCUUUGUCAUCAUGGGGUUUUGUGAUGUCAUUAUGGGGUAUUGUGAUGUCAUUAUGGGGUAUUGUGUGUAGAUUGAUGAGGAUUUGUAUUUAUUUACUCCAUUUUAGAAUAAGGUUGUAACGUUACAAAAUGUGGAAAAAGUCAAGGGGUCUGAAUACUUUCCCAAAUGUACUGUAUAUCCGUAUUGGCUGUUAAUGUUCACGUAAUGACCAUUCAUCUGAAAUUAA